rnacentral:tRNA from 1 species
UCCUAGUUAGCUCAGUUGGUAGAGAGCUACCCUGAAAAUGAAGAGGUCCCUGGUUCAAUACCAGGAUCAGGCG